UGUCCCCUACGGGAGGCAGCAGUGGGGAAUUUUGGACAAUGGGCGCAAGCCUGAUCCAGCUAUUCCGCGUGUGGGAUGACGGCCCUCGGGUUGUAAACCACUUUAGUAGAGAACGAAAAGGAGCUAUCGAAUAAAUAGCUCUGCUGACGGUACUCUAAGAAUAAGCACCGGCUAACUACGUGCCAGCAGCCGCGGUAAUACGGAGGGCGCGAGCGUUAAUCGGAAUUACUGGGCGUAAAGCGCGCGUAGGCUGUUGUGUAAGUUGGGGGUGAAAUCCCACGGCUCAACCGUGGAACAGCCCUUGA
rnacentral:rRNA from 1 species